rnacentral:rRNA from 1 species
GGAAUCUUCCGCAAUGGACGGAAGUCUGACGGAGCAACGCCGCGUGAGUGAUGAAGGUUUUCGGAUCGUAAAGCUCUGUUGUUAGGGAAGAACAAGUACCGUUCGAAUAGGGCGGCACCUUGACGGUACCUAACCAGAAAGCCACGGCUAACUACGUGCCAGCAGCCGCGGUAAUACGUAGGUGGCAAGCGUUGUCCGGAAUUAUUGGGCGUAAAGGGCUCGCAGGCGGAUUCUUAAGUCUGAUGUGAAAGCCCCCGGCUCAACCGGGGAGGGUCAUUGGAAACUGGGGAACUUGAGUGCAGAAGAGGAGAGUGGAAUUCCACGUGUAGCGGUGAAAUGCGUAGAGAUGUGGAGGAACACCAGUGGCGAAGGCGACUCUCUGGUCUGUAACUGACGCUGAGGAGCGAAAGCGUGGGGAGCGAACAGG